UAGCUAGUAUGGACGGGAUAAUUGCUGAAAGCAUCUAAGUAAGAAACCUUCCUCAAGAUUAGAUUUCCCCAUUAGGGUCGUGGUAGACUACCACGUUGAUAGGCUGGGUGUGUAAGUACGGUAACGUAUGUAGCUAACCAGUACUAAUAGCCCGAUAGGCUUA
rnacentral:rRNA from 1 species